rnacentral:rRNA from 1 species
AACCAGCUCUUCAAGUGGUCGGGAUAAUUAUUGGGCUUAAAGUGUCCGUAGCCGGUUUAGUAAGUUCCUGGUAAAAUCGAGUAGCUUAACUAUUCGUAUGCUAGGAAUACUGCUAAUACUAGAGGGCGGGAGAGGUCUGAGGUACUACUGGGGUAGGGGUGAAAUCUUAUAAUCCUAGUAGGACCACCAGUGGCGAAGGCGUCAGACUGGAACGCGCCUGACGGUGAGGGACGAAAGCCAGGGGAGCGAACCGGAUUAGAUACCCGGGUAGUCCUGGCCGUAAACGAUGCAUACUAGGUGAUGGCACGGCCAUGUGCCGUGUCAGUGCCGUAGGGAAACCGUUAAGUGUGCCGCCUGGGAAGUACGGUCGCAAGGCUAAAACUUAAAGGAAUUGGCGGGGAGCACCACAGGGGUGAAGCCUGCGGUUC